rnacentral:lncRNA from 1 species
AGUAACCUGCUCUAGUCUCCUUACACGGUGGGGAAUCUUUGUUUUUUUACUUUUUGCGAUAAAUCUUGCUAUUGCUCACUUUUUGAGUCCAUGGUGCUUUUAUGAGCUGGAAUACUCUCCGGGAAGAUCUGCAGCUUCGUUCCUGAGCCAGCGAGACCAUGAACCCACCAGAAGGAAAAAACUCCAAAGGCAUCUGAACAUCAGAAGGGACAGACUCCAGAGACACCACCUUAAGAGCUAUAACACUCACCACGAGGGUCUGCUACUUUACUCUUGAAGUCAGUGAGACCAAGAACCCACCAAUUCUGGACACACCACCACACCUGGCUAAUUUUUUUUUUUUUCUUUGAGACGGAGUUUUGCUCUUGUUGCCUAGGCUGGAUUGCAAUGGUGUGAUCUCAGUUCACUGCAGCCUUGUCUUUCUGGGUUCAAGGAAUUCUUCCUCAGUCUCCCAAGUAGCUGGAUUACAGGUGUGUGCCACCAUGCCAGGCUAAGUUUUUGUAUUUUUAGUAGAGACAGGGUUUUGCCAUGUUGGCCAGCCUGGUCUGGAACCCCUGACCUCAGGUGAUCCACCCGUCUUGGCCUCCCAAAGUGUUGGGAUUAUAGGUGUGAGCCACCACGCCCAGCCAUUUUUACGUUUUUAGUGGAGAUAGGGGGGUUUCAUAAUAUUGGUUAGGCUGGUCUCAAACUCUUGACCUCGUGAUCAGGAGUGAUCAUGCACCACCAUGCCUGGCUAAUUUUAUAUUUUUAGUAGAGAUGGAGUUUCAACAUGCUGGUCAGGCUGGUCUCGAACUCCUGAUGGGUGAUCCCCCUGCCUUGGCCUCCCAAAGUGCUGGGAUUACAAGUGUGAGCCACUGUGCUGGGCAAUUUUCCUUUCAUUCUUUUUCUUUCCUUUUUUUUUUUUUUUUUUUUUUUUUUUGAGACAGGGUCUUGCUGUGUUGCCCAGGCUGAUCUUGAAUUGCUAGCUUGAGUGGUCCUCCCACCUCAGCCUCCUGAUUAGAUGGGACUAAAAUUUCCCUUUACAUUAUUGCCCUUUGCUGAUUUUGUUAUCAAGGUGAUUCUGGCCCCAUAGAAUAAGUUAAGGGGUGCUCUCUCUUCCUAUUUUCUGCAAUAGUGUGUAUAAAAUUAAUAUGAUCUGUACUUUGAAAGUUUGGUGCUACUUGCCUUGAUGAUGUCAUUUUUUUAAAAUAAAAAAUGUUUUGGCAGGCCUCAGUGGUUCACGCCUCUAAUCCCAGCACUUUGGAAGGCAGAGGCAGGUGGAUCACCUGUCAGGAGUUCCAGACCAGCCUGACCAACAUGUUGAAACCCUGUCUCUACUAAAAAUACAAAAUUAGCCAGGCAUGGUGGUACAUGCCUGUAAUCCCAGCUAGGGAGGCUGAGGCAGGAGACUCACUUGAACCUGGGAGGCAGAGGUUGCAGUGAGCCGAGAUCGUGCCCUUUUACUCCAGCCUGGCCAAUAAGGGUGAAACUCCAUCUCAAAAAAAAAAAAAAAAAUUUCUGGCCAGGCAUGGUGGCUCACACCUAUAAUCCCAGCACUUUGGGAGGCCGAGGUGGGUGGAUCACCUGAGGUCAGGAGUUUGAGACUAGCCUGACCAACACAGCAAAACCCCGUCUCUACUAAAAAUACAAAAAUUA